CAGCAGAUGAGAGUAACUGUCUUAGCUGUGCUGCAGCUUUGAAUGCUGCCUCAACCUAUGCUUUUUUUCUUCUUUCACAGGUGUCUCGCACAGGCUCAGAGGUGCAAACUGCACCCUGAAGAGCAGCACGAGAAGGGGGCUGGUCAUGAGCUUGGUUGGAGUGGAAUGGCCAAGUAGCGCGAGGUGACUAAGGAGUGUCUCUGUCUUGCUUUGCAGGUGCCAUGGCUAGCUCUCCACAGAAAUGGCUGAGGAUUUGAGAUAAGGCUGGAGAGCGACAAGGAGCAGCACAUGCAGUGAUGGUUUCCAAGCGCUGCGGUUGCUUUCUCUUCUGGUUAUCAGGUGCCACAGGCAAGGUGGAGAUGUGCCUGAAGCCCAUCCCGUGUAGGCUGAGCACGCCUCGCUGAGGAUGAAGCCUCCUUUCCAGCAGUUCCCAAAGGCACGUUGGGGCUGAAAGGCCGUGUCUGUAUUUGGGCUGGGGUCGUGCCUUGGAGAGUGUGGGGAUGGGUUUUAAGUCAGUGCAGCAGAUACGUAUAUAAAUGAAAUUCACAUAAAUGAUAUAUGAUGAA